CCUACGGGUGGCAGCAGUGAGGAAUAUUGGUCAAUGGGCGCUAGCCUGAACCAGCCAAGUAGCGUGAAGGAUGACUGCCCUAUGGGUUGUAAACUUCUUUUAUAUGGGAAUAAAGUGCAGUAUGUAUACUGUUUUGCAUGUACCUUAUGAAUAAGGAUCGGCUAACUCCGUGCCAGCAGCCGCGGUAAUACGGAGGUUCCGAGCGUUAUCCGGAUUUAUUGGGGUUAAAGGGAGCGUAGGCGGGUUGUUAAGUCAGUUGUGAAAGUGUUCGGCUCAACCGUAAUAUUGCAGUUGAUACUGGCAGCCUUGAGUACAGUAGAGGUAGGUGGAAUUCGUGGUGUAGCGGUGAAAUGCGUAGAUAUCACGAAGAACACCAAUUGCGAAGGCAGCCUGCUGGACUGUAACUGACGCUGAUGCUCGAAAGUGUGGGUAUCAAACAGGAUUAGAUACCCGGGUAGUC
rnacentral:rRNA from 1 species